GAUGAACGCUGGCGGCGUGCCUAAUACAUGCAAGUCGAGCGAACAGACGAGGAGCUUGCUCCUCUGACGUUAGCGGCGGACGGGUGAGUAACACGGGGAGAACCUAACUAUAAGACUGGGAUAACUUCGGGAAACCGGAGCUAAUACCGGAUAAUAUAUUGAACCGCAUGGUUCAAUAGUGAAAGACGGUUUUGCUGUCACUUAUAGAUGGAUCCGCGCCGCAUUAGCUAGUUGGUAAGGUAACGGCUUACCAAGGCAACGAUGCGUAGCCGACCUGAGAGGGUGAUCGGCCACACUGGAACUGAGACACGGUCCAGACUCCUACGGGAGGCAGCAGUAGGGAAUCUUCCGCAAUGGGCGAAAGCCUGACGGAGCAACGCCGCGUGAGUGAUGAAGGUCUUCGGAUCUUAAAACUCUGUUAUUAGGGAAGAACAAAUGUGUAAGUAACUAUGCACGUCUUGACGGUACCUAAUCAGAAAGCCACGGCUAACUACGUG
rnacentral:rRNA from 1 species